rnacentral:rRNA from 1 species
CCUACGGGAGGCAGCAGUGGGGAAUAUUGCACAAUGGGGGAAACCCUGAUGCAGCGACGCCGCGUGGGUGAAGAAGUAUUUCGGUAUGUAAAGCUCUAUCAGCAGGGAAGAAAAUGACGGUACCUGACUAAUAAGCCCCGGCUAACUACGUGCCAGCAGCCGCGGUAAUACGUAGGGGGCAAGCGUUACCCGGAUUUACUGGGCGUAAAGGGUGCGUAGGCGGGGGCACAAGUCAGGAGUGAAAUGCUGGGGCUUAACCCCAGAACUGCUUUGGAAACUGUGCAGCUAGAGUGCAGGAGAGGUAAGUGGAAUUCCUGGUGUAGCGGUGAAAUGCGUAGAGAUUAGGAGGAACACUAGUGGCGAAGGCGACUUGCUGGACUAUAACUGACGUUGAGGCUCGAAAGCGUGGGGAGCAAACAGGAUUAGAUACCCCAGUAGUC